rnacentral:rRNA from 1 species
GACGAACGCUGGCGGCGUGCCUAAUACAUGCAAGUAGAACGCUGAAGAGAGGAGCUUACUCUUCUUGGAUGAGUUGCGAACGGGUGAGUAACGCGUAGGUAACCUGCCUUGUAGCGGGGGAUAACUAUUGGAAACGAUAGCUAAUACCGCAUAACAAUGGAUGACACAUGUCAUUUAUUUGAAAGGGGCAAUUGCUCCACUACAAGAUGGACCUGCGUUGUAUUAGCUAGUAGGUGAGGUAAUGGCUCACCUAGGCGACGAUACAUAGCCGACCUGAGAGGGUUAUCGGCCACACUGGGACUGAGACACGGCCCAGACUCCUACGGGAGGCAGCAGUAGUGAAUCUUCGGCAAUGGGGGCAACCCUGACCGAGCAACGCCGCGUGAGUGAAGAAGGUUUUCGGAUCGUAAAGCUCUGUUGUAAGUCAAGAACGGGUGUGAGAGUGGAAAGUUCACACUGUGACGGUAGCUUACCAGAAAGGGACGGCUAACUACGUG